AUGCCCAAACCAUCUCAGACAAUGUUGGACAAGCUUCUCUUCAUUCGACUCCAACCCACGCAUUGCUGUAAUUUUUUUAAUUUUUUAGCACCUGACACAUGCGAAGCUAACUGGGCUUCUGAAGAGUGCAGGUGCACAAACUUGGCCCGUCAAGACGUUCGAAUCGUUUUCUUCCUAUGA
rnacentral:rRNA from 1 species